UCACUUGCUCUCUGGACUGUUUAUUCCUGGCAAACAUGGAACAAGUUCUUCUCAGCCUUGGAAAACAAGCAACUUGUAGUAAUUAAGCCAGAAAGAGAAGCAAAAGAAGAAAACCGGAUCACUGAGAUGUCAGUAAAAAUAAAGAAAUUUCUUGGAUAUCAUAACAGGAGGGGAAAAAAAAAAUCAAGAUUGUCCCAAGUUUUGUUGUAGAAGAGACAAUCAGGAAGGCUCUUGAAAAGAAGGGAGAUGAAGCUACUGACAUGACUGGUGGCAAUGUAAAGUCACAGUCUCCAUUUUCACUGUACCAAACGUGCAGUUUUCCCAACUCCACUUGUAAGUUGCCACACUUACAAAGAAAAAGCUUUUGUGACAGAGGGCAAAUCAAGCUUUCUAGAUAUCUUCACUGUGUUACUGAAAGCUAGCUUUGGUGAUCCAUGAGAUGGAAAUGUUGAGGAGAGCACCAGGAAAGAACACAGCCCUGUGACCUGGUGUGGAGAGAGGAUCUGAC